rnacentral:rRNA from 1 species
CAGUAGCCGCGGGAAUACGAAGGGGGCUAGCGUUGUUCGGAUUUACUGGGCGUAAAGGGCGCGUAGGCGGGUUUUUAAGUCAGGGGUGAAAUCCCAAGGCUCAACCUUGGAACUGCCUUUGAUACUGGAAAUCUUGAGUCCGGGAGAGGUGAGUGGAACUGCGAGUGUAGAGGUGAAAUUCGUAGAUAUUCGCAAGAACACCAGUGGCGAAGGCGGCUCACUGGCCCGGUACUGACGCUGAGGCGCGAAAGCGUGGGGAGCAAACAGGAUUAGAUACCCCCGUAGUCCCUGUCUCUUAUAC